GUGGGGAAUUUUGCGCAAUGGGGGAAACCCUGACGCAGCAACGCCGCGUGAGUGAUGAAGGCCUUCGGGUCGUAAAGCUCUGUCAGAGGGGAAGAAGUGUGAGGUGGCUAAUAUCCAUUUCACUUGACGGUACCUUCAAAGGAAGCACCGGCUAACUCCGUGCCAGCAGCCGCGGUAAUACGGAGGGUGCGAGCGUUGUUCGGAAUUAUUGGGCGUAAAGCGCGUGUAGGCGGUUUUUUAAGUCUGAUGUGAAAGCCCUGGGCUCAACCCGGGAAGUGCAUUGGAAACGGGGAGACUUGAAUACGGGAGAGGGCAGUGGAAUUCCUGGUGUAGGAGUGAAAUCCGUAGAUAUCAGGAGGAACACCGGUGGCGAAGGCGGCUGCCUGGACCGAUAUUGACGCUGAGACGCGAAAGCGUGGGGAGCAAACAGGAUUAGAUACCCGAGUAGUCC
rnacentral:rRNA from 1 species